rnacentral:misc_RNA from 1 species
AAGGACUACUAGGGUUUCUAAUCCUGUUUGCUCCCCACGCUUUCGUGCCUCAGUGUCAGUACUGGUCCAGGUGGCCGCCUUCGCCACGGAUGUUCCUCCUGAUCUCUACGCAUUUCACUGCUACACCAGGAAUUCCGCCACCCUCUACCGUACUCUAGCCCGCCAGUAUCCAAUGCAAUUCCCAGGUUGAGCCCGGGGCUUUCACAUCAGACUUAACGAACCACCUACGCACGCUUUACGCCCAGUAAUUCCGAUUAACGCUCGCACCCUCCGUAUUACCGCGGCUGCUGGCAC